CGGAUUAUGAGAGAAAAAAAC
rnacentral:misc_RNA from 1 species